CCUCCUUUUCUUGGCGGGGGCCGGGUGUGCGGCCCACUCUCCUUUAUGGAUGGAGGCAGAGGGAAAGGGCUCUGGCACCUCAGUGUCAUGUCUUCUGUGCCAGGGGCUUCCCUUCUUCCGGUUCUAGCCGCAAGAAGCAGGACACCA
rnacentral:snoRNA from 1 species